GUCUUUUCUCUUGUUCGAUAUCGACGUCGUUUGAAGGUUCCUGAUCAUCGCUGUGUUGACUCGCCCUUUUUGUUCAUAACCAAAGAUCUUUUCGAGGUCAUUCGAGUUUAACGCUUUCUCCCGGUAUUCGAGCUUGGGGCCCAAACUUCUCGUUACUUUGAGGAAGUCUAUUUUCUCCUGCUAGUGUUGGGUUCCCCCUUAGAGACUGAGAAUUUUUGACAAGAGUUUUCUUUCUCGUUGAGACGAGGUCUCUUAAGUCUUAGAUGUAGUUCAUUUUUUUCUUAUCUUUGGUGUAGCUCGUCGCUUUUCUUUUUCUCUCCCCCUUUCUUUAUGUUUGGGCGAGGGUUUUUUCUCUGCUCUUAACGGGAUUGUAGGGGAGUAGAGGAGCUGCUGAGGGAUUUUUUUCCUCAUCCGAUCUCAAACGAUCAAAUCUUUGUUUGUGUCAGGACAAGAUUCUCCUUCUGUUUCCGACACAAUCAAUUUCAGCUCAUGUUAGGAUGAGAUUUUUCUCCUAUUCCUAACAGGGCUGCGGGGGCACAUAAGGACCGUUGCAAGGACCUCUCCCUCCAUCCGAUCUCUGAAUAACUAGACCUUCGAUCUUGCUCAUGUUAGGAUGAGGUUCUCCUCCUGUUCCUAACAUAGCUGUGGGGGCCCAUAAGGGUCGUUGCAAGGACCUCUCCCCCCAUCCGGUCU
rnacentral:lncRNA from 1 species